GCUUAUCACCAUUCCAGAUUGAAUAUACCCGAUCUCGUCUGAUCUCGGAAGUCAAGCAAUCUCGGGCUUGGUUAGUACUUGGGUGGGUGACCGCUUGGGAAUACCAAGUGAGAUAAGCA
rnacentral:rRNA from 1 species